rnacentral:lncRNA from 1 species
CUUCGAUCCAUCGAUGAUCGAUCGAUGUCUGGUUUCGUCACUGAUGGUUUUGGAACGACGAGGAAUCGUACGUGCACGGCCGGCCGGUGGAUCCGCCGCUCACCGGAGGUGGCACUCCGCGGGGACACCCUGCGGGAAUCGCUUGGCGUCGGUGCAGUAGUUGUAGAUCAUGAACUUCCUCUGCACCCACCGCAUGCGGCGGUAGCUCAUGUCGCUGAGUUGCUGGUUCCACCAGCUGCGCCCGCCUCGGCGUCCCGCGACGGCGGCGGUCUCCAUGGUGCCGACGGGGCACUGCUGCCUGCCGUUGGCCCAGACGCAGGCGUCGGCGCUGAAGCCCCUGAAGGAGGCGACGAAGGGCGCGUGGGACCAGUCCGCCUUCACGCGCCCGC